rnacentral:rRNA from 1 species
GACGAACGCUGGCGGCGUGCCUAAUACAUGCAAGUUGAGCGCUGAAGGUUGGUACUUGUACCAACUGGAUGAGCAGCGAACGGGUGAGUAACGCGUGGGGAAUCUGCCUUUGAGCGGGGGACAACAUUUGGAAACGAAUGCUAAUACCGCAUAAAAACUUUAAACACAAGUUUUAAGUUUGAAAGAUGCAAUUGCAUCACUCAAAGAUGAUCCCGCGUUGUAUUAGCUAGUUGGUGAGGUAAAGGCUCACCAAGGCGAUGAUACAUAGCCGACCUGAGAGGGUGAUCGGCCACAUUGGGACUGAGACACGGCCCAAACUCCUACGGGAGGCAGCAGUAGGGAAUCUUCGGCAAUGGACGAAAGUCUGACCGAGCAACGCCGCGUGAGUGAAGAAGGUUUUCGGAUCGUAAAACUCUGUUGGUAGAGAAGAACGUUGGUGAGAGUGAAAAGCUCAUCAAGUGACGGUAACUACCCAGAAAGGGACGGCUAACUACGUG